CCUACGGGGCGCAGCAGUGGGGGAUAUUGCACAAUGGGGGAAACCCUGAUGCAGCGACGCCGCGUGAGCGAUGAAGGAUUUCGGAAUGUAAAGCUCUAUCAUCAGGGAAGAAAAUGACGGUACCUUACUAAGAAGCCCCGGCUAACUACGUGCCAGCAGCCGCGGUAAUACGUAGGGGGCGAGCGUUAUCCGGAUUUACUGGGUGUAAAGGGAGCGUAGACGGCAGGGCAAGUCUGAGGUGAAAUGCAAGGGCUCAACCUUUGGGCUGCUUUGGAAACUG
rnacentral:rRNA from 1 species